UUUUCUUUGUGUCUAUGUUGUCUUACUCUUUGGUUUGGAUUCUUCUUGUCUUUUGCUUUGCCUGUAACGUUAGUUGUUUUCUUUGUUGGUUUUUUGUUCUUGUCCCCAAGCUGUGAGGUUGCUUUCUUUUGGGAGGGUUGUUUUGGAUCCUUCUAUUUGUUUCAUCUUGUUGCUUAUUUUGUAAGCGUUGUUACGCUCUUGUGCCUUGACCUCGGGUUGUGAGGUCCUCUUUGUUGUAUAAUAUUAAUGUUACCUUUUCAAAAAAAA
rnacentral:lncRNA from 1 species